AACGAACGCUGGCGGCAUGCCUAACACAUGCAAGUCGAACGAUCCCUUCGGGGAUAGUGGCGAACGGGUGCGUAACGCGUGGGAACCUGCCCUUAGGUUCGGAAUAACUCAGAGAAAUUUGAGCUAAUACCGGAUAAUGUCUUCGGACCAAAGAUUUAUCGCCUUUGGAUGGGCCCGCGUUGGAUUAGCUAGUUGGUGGGGUAAAGGCCUACCAAGGCGACGAUCCAUAGCUGGUCUGAGAGGAUGAUCAGCCACACUGGGACUGAGACACGGCCCAGACUCCUACGGGAGGCAGCAGUGGGGAAUAUUGGACAAUGGGCGAAAGCCUGAUCCAGCAAUGCCGCGUGAGUGAUGAAGGCCUUAGGGUUGUAAAGCUCUUUUACCCGGGAUGAUAAUGACAGUACCGGGAGAAUAAGCCCCGGCUAACUCCGUG
rnacentral:rRNA from 1 species